rnacentral:rRNA from 1 species
ACUGCUCAGUAACACGUGGAUAAUUUGCCCUUAGGGAGGAUACCCUCGGGAAACUGAGAAUAAUACUCCAUAGUCUAGAUGCUGGAAUGCUUUUAGAUGAAAAUUUGCCCAAGGAUGAGUCUGCGGACUAUCAGGUUGUAGUCAGGGUAAAGACCUGACUAGCCUACGACGGAUACGGGUUUGAGAGAUUUACCCGGAGAUGAUAUCUGAGACACGAUAUCAGGCCCUACGGGGCGCAGCAGGCGCGAAAACUUCACACUGGCGAAAGCGCGACGAGGGAAUCCCAAGUGCUGGCUCGUAAGGUAGCUGUUUUUCUGUCUAAAAAACAGAAGAGUAAGACUGGGUAAGACGGGUGCCAGCCGCCGCGGUAAUACCUGCAACCAGUGGUGCGCUAUUAUUGGGCCUAAAACGUCCGUAGCCGGUUCUAUAAAUGCCUGGGUAAAUCGUACGGCUUAACCGUACGAAUUCCGGGUAGACUGUUCAACUUGGGACCGGGAGAGGCUAGAGGUACUCCUGGGUAAGGUGAAAUU